ensembl:lncRNA
CUUGGAUUGCUACCAUAUUCAUUAGUACAUUAUUUAAAUAAAAUAAUUGUCUUUCAGAGUGCACUGUUAUUCAUUAGCAUCUCACGAUGACCUGACCGAAGCGUUUUAUCUUCCACUACAUUUUAUUAGAUAUGGAUCUUAUAUUAAGUUUAUCUGGAGCCACUAUAUAUAGAAUUAAUUUUAAGAAGACAUUAAAACUAUUAAUGGCUUGUGUUAAUUUAUGUUAUUCUCUCAGUUGUGGUGCUUUCUGCUGUUGUGGUACCAGUGGUGGUGCUGACUGUUGUUCCUUCAGUUGUGGUGCUUUCUGAUGUUGCCGUCUCCGUUGUUGUACUUUCUGGAGUUGUGGUACUGGUGGUUGUACUUUCUGUUAUUGUAGUGCUUUCCGAUGAUGUUGCCUCAGGUGUUGUGCUUUCUGUUGUUGUAGUGUCCAUCGUGGUGGUGCUGUCUGUUGUUGUGGUGCUUUCUGUUGUACUUUCUGAAGCUGUGGUAAUGGUGGUGGUACUUUCUGAUGUUGUAGCAUCUGUUGUUGUGGUUUCCACUGUUGUACUUUCUGAAGUUGUGGUAGCAGUGGUGCUGCUUUCUGUUGUUGUUGUUACUAUGGUACUACUUUCUGUAGUGGUGGUGCCUUCUGUUGUUGUGAUCUCAGUUGUGGUGGUACUUUCUAUUGUUGAGCCUGUGGUGGUGCUUUCUAUUGUUGUGGUCUCAGUUGUGCUGGUACUUUCUGUUGUUGCAGUCUGCAUUGUUGUACUUUCUGGGGUGGUGGUGCCAGUGGUACUACUUUCUGUAGAGGUCAUGCUUUCUGUUGUUGUGAUCUCAGUUAUGGUGGUACUUUCUAUUGUUGUGAUCUCGGUUGUUGUCCCCGGGUUGGUACUUUCUGUUGUUGUGGUCUCUGUUGUUGUACUUUCUGGAGUAGUGGUGCCAGUGGAUGUACUUUCUAACACUGUUGUGCUUUCUGGAGUUGUAGAACCAGUGGUGGUGCUGUCUAUUAUUAUGGUCUCUGUUGUGGUGCUUGUGGUGGUGCUUGUGGUGGUGCUUUCUAUUGUUGUUGGCUCAGUUGUUGUGCUUUCUGGUGUUGUAGUGUUUGUUGUGGUGCUUUCUGUAUUUGUGGUAUCUUUUGUAGUUGUGGUUUCCAUUGUUGUACUUUCUGAAGUUGUAAUUACGAGGCUGGUGAUUUCUGAAGGGGUUGUGCCAGUGGUAGUACUUUCUGUCAUUGUUGUGCUUUCUGGAGUUGUGGUAUCAAUUGUGGUUCUUUCUGUUACUGUGGUCUCUGUAGUAGUACUUUCUGGGGUAGUGUUGCCUUCUGUUGUUGUGAUCUCAGUUGUGGUGCUUGUGGUGGUGCUUUCUGUCGCUGUGGUCUCCGUUGUUAUACUUUCUGGAGUGGUGGUGACAGCGGUUGAACUUUCUGUCAUUGUAGUGCUUUCUGGAGUUGUGGUACUGGUGGUGGUGCUUUUUGUUGUUGUGGUCUCUUUGCUAGGACUAUCUGGGGUAGUGGUGCCUUCUAUUGCUGUGAUCUCAGUUGUGGUGGUACUUUCUGUUGUUGUGGUCUCCUUUGUUGUAAAUUCUGGAGUAGUGGUGCCAAUGGUUGUUCCAGUUGUCUCUGUGAUAAUACUUUCUGGAUUGGUGGUACCCUCUGUUGUUGUGAUAUCAGUGUUGGUGCCUGUGGUGGUACUUUCUAUUCUUGUGGUCUCAGUUGUUGUGCCGGAGGUGGUACUUUCUGUUGUUGUGGUCUCUGUUGUUGUACUCUCUAGAGUUGUUGUACUUUUUGUCAUUGUGGUGCUUUCUGGAGUUGUGGUGCCGGUGGUGGUGCUUUCUGUUGUUGUGGUCUCUGUGGUAGUACUAUCUGGAGUGGUAGUCCCUUCUUUUGUUGUGAUCUCAGCUGUGGUGCCUGUUGCGGUACUUUUUAUUGUUGUGUUCUCAGUUGUUGUGCCGAGGCUGAUAUUUUCUGUUAUUGUGGUUUCCAUUGUUGUGCCUGCAGUGGUACUUUCUAUUUUUGUGGUCUUAGUUGUAAUGCUUUCUGGUGUUGUGGUCUCUGUUGUUGUACUUUUUGAAGUUGUAGUACCAGGGGUUUCUGUUGUUGUGGUGUCAGUUGUUGCACUUUCUUGUGUAGUGUUACUGGUGGUGAUACUUGUUGUGGUCUCUGAAGCAAUACUUUCUGCAGUAGGGGCGCCAGUGGUCUUAUCUUCUGCCAAUGUGAUCUCUGUUGUUACACUGUCUGGAGUUGUGGUGAUAGUAGUGGUGCUUUCUGAUGUUGUGGUCUCUGUGGUAGUACUCCCUGGAGUGGUCGUGCCAGAGGUUGUACUUUCUGUGUUGGUGGUGCUGUCUGUUGUUGUGAUAUCGGAUGUGGUGCCUGUGGUAGUACUUUCUGUUGUUAUGGUGGCGGUAGAGGUGCUAUCUGUUGUUGUAGUCUGUGUUGUUGAUCUUUCAGGAGUUGUGGUGCUGCUGCUUAUUGUUGUGGUCUCCUUUGUGGAACUUUCUGGAGUUACGGUGCUGCGGUUUGUUGUUGUGGGCUCUGUGGUAGUACUUUCUGCAUUACCAGUGACCAUGAUUGUUGCUUCUAUUAAUGUGGUUUUUAUGUUUGAGGUUGUUUCUAUCAAGAUAGUAGUAUAGGAAAUGCUGUUGCUCCCGAUAUCUGGAAAAUAAUAAUAAUAAUAAUUUAAACAAGAUACAUUUAAAUACAUAAACAGUGGUGGCCAAAUUAUUAGAACUAUAGUAUUUUCACCAGCUAAAAAUGGGUUUAAG